UACGGAGGGUGCAAGCGUUAAUCGGAAUUACUGGGCGUAAAGCGUGUGUAGGUGGUUUGGUAAGUGUGAUGUGAAAUCCCUGGGCUUAACCUAGGAACUGCAUCACAUACUGCUAGUCUAGAAUCCUGGAGAGGGUAGGGGAAUUAUCUGUGUAGCGGUGAAAUGCGUAGAUAUGGAUAAGAACACCGGUGGCGAAGGCGCCUACCUGGUCAGAGAUUGACACUGAGACACGAAAGCGUGGGUAGCGAACAGG
rnacentral:rRNA from 1 species